CCAGGAGCUGCUGAUGUGGGCGAGAGGAGCCACAGGCCCCAUCAGGACUGCGCAAACCCAGACCCAAUCAUCGUAUCCGCAGAACAGGCCCAGGAUGGGGAAGAAACUCUGCUCUGAGCUUUUUCAGCAGCUCCUCAGGGAUGUGUCCUGCAACAUUCACACAAUUAGCUGUGGGUUUGUGCUGGUUGGGAUGUCAUUCCUCUGUUUACUCCACGAGUACCACAACCACCUGUCACAUUUCACUGUAGCAGCUCCUCAGUGUGCAGGAGACACCUGAAACAAGCCUGUGUUUGCCAGCCCAGGAAACAGUGCUGCUUCGGAAUGAUGAAGACAGUAAUCACCAGGAUUGUUCCAUAGCUGUCAUGCUUGUUUUUCCCAAAAAGCAGAGGAAUACUGGACUGGCUGAACUUCUCUUCCCUCAUGCAUCACUUGCUCCUGCAGGCGGGCAGGAGAUGUGCUGUAUGUGUUUGUCUGUACAGGGUGCCCAUGUCUGAGUGUAUCUGUCAUUUUUUGAGGUGUCUUUGCCUUUCUGAGCUGCAGCCUUUUGUCAGUCAUGCUGUGUCCUCGCUGCUGUGCAUGGGGCACUUGUGCAUGCCAUUGCUCUGAUUCUCGUAAGAUCAUCCAGGGGUGUUCAGCAGAGACACAAUGGCAGGAUCAGGGCGAAGGAGGCCUCACAUGAGGGGUUUAGCUUGGGGACUUCCCCAUUCCAGGUGAGGGGAGGGUAGCUCUCUUGCAUGCACAGUGCCCUAUGUGCUGGGAGGCAUGGGGGGCUUCUCUCUCAGGGAUCCAUACUUGCUGUUGGCCACACUUCAAGGUAUUCUUGGCACUUUGAAAUGCUGAAAGUUGUUAAAUCAGAACAAUUCCAACAAGUAUUUGUAAAUGCAUAAAGCCUGGCUUUUUGCCUUUGCUGAUGUCAGUCAGGAGUGACUUCCUGGGCCAUGGAGCCCGGGCUGAGGCUUCAAGAGGGUGGUCAGUGUAGAGCUGUCUCAGCCUGGCAGUGGCUGCCCAUCUCUGCUGCCUGAGGCUCCUCUCAGCUCUCCUGCACCUCCACGGGCCCACCUGAGCUGGGCACCUGGGGCUGGGUAUGCAGCAGCCUCUAGGCAAUGCUUGGUGGGUGCAGGACUCUCAGCCCCACACAGUAGGGACUGUAAUUGCAUUUCAAGUAGGAAAAUGAGGCUGAAAUGGGUAGGAUUUUGAGUGGCUUGGUUUUGUGAGUCACUUCAGAUCAAUAUGCCUGGGACUGGAAACUCAAAUGUCAUCAAGUGGUUGCUGUGUUCCCUUCUGUACUAGAGGCAGUUGCAUUUGUACGUGCAGUCUAUGCACAUUCCUGAUAAGGACCAUCUCAGGAGGUUGUGUUUUCUGUGUACAUACCCAGACCUGCACAUUCACUUGGGUCUAUUAAACACCUGUACCAGUCUGUGCAGCUCCU